rnacentral:tRNA from 1 species
ACCAAGAUGUCCGAGAGGUUAAGGUGUUGGACUUAAGAUCCAAUGGAAAAAUGUCCUUGUGGGUUCGAACCCUACUCCUGGUA